rnacentral:rRNA from 1 species
UUCUAUUAGAAAUCAUUAAUAGUAAAAUCUGCUCCAUGUCUAAUAAAUAGCCGCAAUUUGUGCUAAGGUAGCAUAAUCAUUUGUCUUUUAAAUGAAGACUAGAACAAAAGAUUUAACAUUUUCAGUUCAUUUUCUUAACUUAAAUCAUUAAAUUUAUCCUAAAUGUAAAAAGACAUUUAUGUUAAAGAAAGACGAUAAGACCCUAUUGAACUUAACUGCAGUUAAACUGGGGCAGUAAAUUAAUUAUCAUUUUAAUAAAAUUUAUUUCAUAAAUAUCUAAUAAAAUUAAAUAAUUCAGUUACCAUAGGGAUAACAGCGUAAUAAUCUUCUAAAGAUCUUAUUUAAAAYAUAAAUUACGACCUCGAUGUUGAAUUAAUAACCUAAUUAAGGCAAAACUUAAAAAAGGAAGUCUGUUCGACUUUUAAAAAAUUACAUGAUUUGAGUUCAGACCGGUGUAAGCCAGGUCGGUUUCUAUCUUCUAAAAAAUUUUUUACAGUACGAAAGGACCUAAAAAUCUAAUA